rnacentral:rRNA from 1 species
UACGAAGGGGGCUAGCGUUGUUCGGAAUUACUGGGCGUAAAGCGCACGUAGGCGGACAUUUAAGUCAGGGGUGAAAUCCCGGGGCUCAACCCCGGAACUGCCUUUGAUACUGAUAGUCUCGAGUCCGGAAGAGGUGAGUGGAAUUCCGAGUGUAGAGGUGAAAUUCGUAGAUAUUCGGAGGAACACCAGUGGCGAAGGCGGCUCACUGGUCCGGUACUGACGCUGAGGUGCGAAAGCGUGGGGAGCAAACAGG